rnacentral:tRNA from 1 species
GCCACCGUGGCAGAGCGGCUAUGCACCUGGUUGCAACCCAGGAAGAACGCCGGUUCGACUCCGGCCGGGGCUCCA